rnacentral:rRNA from 1 species
GAUGAACGCUGGCGGCGUGCCUAAUACAUGCAAGUCGAGCGAACGGACGAGAAGCUUGCUUCUCUGAUGUUAGCGGCGGACGGGUGAGUAACACGUGGAUAACCUACCUAUAAGACUGGGAUAACUUCGGGAAACCGGAGCUAAUACCGGAUAAUAUUUUGAACCGCAUGGUUCAAAAGUGAAAGACGGUCUUGCUGUCACUUAUAGAUGGAUCCGCGCUGCAUUAGCUAGUUGGUAAGGUAACGGCUUACCAAGGCAACGAUGCAUAGCCGACCUGAGAGGGUGAUCGGCCGCACGGGAACUGAGACACGGUCCAGACUCCUACGGGAGGCAGCAGUAGGGAAUCUUCCGCAAUGGGCGAAAGCCUGACGGAGCAACGCGGCGUGAGUGAUGAAGGUCCUCGGAUCGUAAAACUCUGUUAUUAGGGAAGAACAUAUGUGUAAGUAACUGUGCACAUCUUGACGGUACCUAAUCAGAAAGCCACGGCUAACUACGUG